AUUAAUUUUUUCAUUAUUAUUUUGAGAAGUAGGGCCUACAUUCUAUUUAACAAUCAUAAUAAAUUUCAGUCAAUUUCUUCGAGUUAAAAACCGGUAUUUUAUUUUGACGGGAUGUAGUGAAGAGCUUUGAGUUUCAGUGUAUUUGACAAUGGUUUUUCUCAAAUAAAAUGAUGAAAUGCUCAUUAAGCGCUAUCUCAGAGCAACCUUGGAUAUGUUUGUGUUCAUGUCCUCUGAUAACGAGACGGCAAAGACUGAAAAAACAAUAAGAGCGUCGCACAUACUUGAGUAUGUAGUACACGAAACGGCGCAGCUCAUUCACACAGGCAGACACGCAAAACAAACAGAUAUAUUUAUACAGCCGUCUUUUUGCGCUUUAAUAUUCACAGACCCCGCCUAGACCAUGUCACGAUUUUAUUUAUUGUACUGCUCUGUUUUCGUUUUAUUCAUCAGUCCAACAAAUCGCGCGUUUUUACCUGACAUCGCUGCGUUAUACUGUACAUUCCAUUUUCAUGACUGGAUUCCGGGAUUCCCUCUCCAUCACGCAUAUCAUACGACCUAAGUUAUAAACGGAACAUACCUGCAUCUACACGGAUGGUGUUCUCGAAUAUAGGUGAACAUGUUCGAUGCGUUUCCUCCUUUUGCAGAUACUGAUGUCACUGGCCUGAAUCAGUCUCUCCGUCAGACGUGUGUCUCGCGGCAUGAAACAGGUCAAAGCAGGGGCCAAGAGGAUGGAAAACAUGCAAAAUACCUGUCUUCAGCAGUGUGAAUUCCCUGCGUCCAGAUACAAAGCAGACCUCCGAGGCCUGUGCUGCCCAUGCACUGCCAUGGAAUUCUGGGUGGCUUGACCACAGAGGUCACCACACAGCAAUGCUUUGCUCCACAGACCUCCACCACACUGUGCAUUCAAGCUUUGAAUAAGACAAACAACGUAUAAAGAAAAUACAGUUCAGCACACUGUUGCAACGUGCAAGAAAUACAAUAUUGAAAAAGAAACAUGACAUUCUUCAUUCCCUAGGACAAUAUGAAAUAUCUCAACACUAAAAUAUAUAUUGCUGUGUCAAUAAAUAAUAGUUUUCUAUGAAGCUAUACGGCAGUGUCAAGGAUUUUCUUUGCAAUAUGCCCAACCUGCAACCAUUCAGGUAUUUAUUUACUAAACAAUUUUAUUAGAAUCUUUUAUCAGCCAGG